GUGCUCCAGAGUGGGGGAAGAGAGCUGUGCAGCCCCGGGGUAUCUGAGCCAUUGAGCAGUGAGCUAACUAUGGGCUGCUGACAUCAGAUGUAGCUUCAAAGUGGUCCUGCUCUUCAUGUAGAUGUGCCAAUCAGUGGGGGGUGACAAGCGGACCACCCAAGAGAUAAAUUCUGCCUGCAUCCCGAUGUGCUGCUGAUCCAGAUCCCAUUGCAUGCCCCUUUCUCUACUGGUCAUGGCUCUCUGAUCCACUGAGGAACAUCUAAGCAAUAAAAGCAUGUACAUGUAGAGAAGUGCAAAGGGGAGGGCUGUCUUUCUAUUACUCACAACUUCCGAGAAGGUUAAUAUGGCAAAGCUAAGGGAAGAGGUAGGUUUAAAAU